rnacentral:tRNA from 1 species
GGAGUGGUAGCCGAGCCUGGUAAGGCGACAGACUUGAGAUCUGUUCUCCCCAAUGUGGAGGCGGCGGUUCAAAUCCGUCCCACUCCGCCA